GACGAACGCUGGCGGCGUGCUUAACACAUGCAAGUCGAACGGGAAGGCCCUGCUUUUGUGGGGUGCUCGAGUGGCGAACGGGUGAGUAACACGUGAGUAACCUGCCCUUGACUUUGGGAUAACUUCAGGAGACUGGGGCUAAUACCGGAUAUGACCAUUCUCCGCAUGGAGUGGUGGUGGAAAGUUUUUCGGUUGGGGAUGGGCUCGCGGCCUAUCAGCUUGUUGGUGGGGUGAUGGCCUACCAAGGCGACGACGGGUAGCCGGCCUGAGAGGGCGACCGGCCACACUGGGACUGAGACACGGCCCAG
rnacentral:rRNA from 1 species